UCGGAUUGUAGUCUGCAACCCGACUACAUGAAGCUGGAAUCGCUAGUAAUCGCGGAUCAGAAUGCCGCGGUGAAUACGUUCCCGGGUCUUGUACACACCGCCCGUCACACCAUGGGAGUCGGAAAUGCCCGAAGUCUGUGACCCAACCUUAGGGAGGGAGCAGCCGAAGGCAGGUCGGAUGACUGGGGUGAAGUCGUAACAAGGUAAC
rnacentral:rRNA from 1 species